GACGAACACUGGCGGCGUGCUUAACACAUGCAAGUCGAACGAAGAGCGAUGGAAGCUUGCUUCUAUCAAUCUUAGUGGCGAACGGGUGAGUAACGCGUAAUCAACCUGCCCUUCAGAGGGGGACAACAGUUGGAAACGACUGCUAAUACCGCAUACGAUCUAACCUCGGCAUCGAGGAUGGAUGAAAGGUGGCCUCUAUUUAUAAGCUAUCACUGAAGGAGGGGAUUGCGUCUGAUUAGCUAGUUGGAGGGGUAACGGCCCACCAAGGCGAUGAUCAGUAGCCGGUCUGAGAGGAUGAACGGCCACAUUGGGACUGAGACACGGCCCAGACUCCUACGGGAGGCAGCAGUGGGGAAUCUUCCGCAAUGGACGAAAGUCUGACGGAGCAACGCCGCGUGAGUGAUGACGGCCUUCGGGUUGUAAAGCUCUGUUAAUCGGGACGAAAGGCCUUCUUGCGAAUAGUUAGAAGGAUUGACGGUACCGGAAUAGAAAGCCCG
rnacentral:rRNA from 1 species